GGCUGCUUGGGUAACCUCAUGACCUGGCAGCUGGCUUCUCCCAGAGAGAGAGAGAGAGAGAUCCAUGAGAGAGCAAGACAAGUCAUAAUGUCUUUUGUGACCUAGCCUCAGAAGUCACAUUUGUCAUUUUCACAGUAUCCUAUCAGUCCUAUGAGUCAGCCAUAUACAGCAUGGAACAGGGCUCCACAAGGACAUGAAUACCAGGUGGCAGGGAUCACUGGGCCAUCUCUCUAAAUCAGGAAUGAAACAUUUGCAACCUGUGUCUCCCAAACAUGAUAUGUUUCAAUCAUCAAAGGAUCUACAGUGACUACGAUAACCAAGUGCUACAAAAACGCUGUGACAGGGAAUCUGAACAAUAGAGAUUUGAGGGAAACAAAGCACUUUCGACAAAGGUCCUGCUGCUUGUCUUCAGCUCGGUACCAAUUAGAGCUUCACUGGAGGUGAAAAAUAUUUCUCCGUCCCUCUACUUUGAGCCUGUGGAUGUUGUUACAUUUAAGCCACUUUCUGUAUAGGUUACAAAUGGAUUCUAUAGACUUGCUGUUAGAAAUUAUAAAGAAUCAGCCUGGCAUGGUGGCUCACGCCUGUAAUGCCUGCACUUUGGGAGGCCGAGGCAGGCAGAUCACCUGAGGUCAGGAGUUCAAGACCAGCUUGGCCAACAUGGAAAAAUCAGUGUUCUUGAGGCUUGCUUUGCAGAAGUUCAUUGCUUUAACAAGCACCCACUUCAGAGAUGUGAUGACAUCAGAGAUGCUGGUUGCAAGUAAAGAUGGUUUGUUGUAUAAAGUGUGUAUUGUAAGUGGUUAACAAUAAAUAAACAUAUUGAAUUUA